CACCGCCCGUCACAUCAUGGAAAUUAAUUCAUUUUAACAUAAAAAAUUUGUAUUUUUUUUUAAAGAAAAUAUUUGAUAUCUAUUAUAUAGAAAUAAGAAUAUUUUUUUUACUAAGAAGGAUUUAGUAACUAUGAUGAAGUCGUAACAAGGUAGUCGUAGGGGAACCUGUGGCUG
rnacentral:ncRNA from 1 species